GAUGAACGCUGGCGGUCUGCUUAACACAUGCAAGUCGAACGGAAGUAGCAAUACUUUAGUGGCGGACGGGUGAGUAACACGUAAGAAUCUGCCUCCAGGACGGGAAAAACAGUUGGAAACGACUGCUAAUUCCGGAUGAGCCGAAAGGUAAAAAGAAAUUCGCCUGGAGAUGAGCUUGCGGCUGAUUAGCUAGUUGGUAGGGUAAGAGCCUACCAAGGCGACGAUCAGUAGCUGGUCUGAGAGGAUGAGCAGCCACACUGGGACUGAGACACGGCCCAGACUCCUACGGGAGGCAGCAGGGGGGAAUUUUCCGCAAUGGGCGAAAGACUGACGGAGCAAGACCGCGUGGGGGAGGAAGGUUCUUGGAUUGUCAACCCCUUUUCUAAGGGAAGAAGAUCUGACGGUACCUGAGGAAUCAGCAUCGGCUAACUCCGUGCCAGCAGCCGCGGUAACAC
rnacentral:rRNA from 1 species